GAUGAACGCUGGCGGCGUGCCUAAUACAUGCAAGUCGAGCGAACAGACGAGGAGCUUGCUCCUCUUACGUUAGCGGCGGACGGGUGAGUAACACGUGGAUAACCUACCUAUAAGACUGGGAUAACUUCGGGAAACCGGAGCUAAUACCGGAUAAUAUAUUGAACCGCAUGGUUCAAUAGUGAAAGACGGUUUUGCUGUCACUUAUAGAUGGAUCCGCGCGGCAGUAGCUAGUUGGUAAGGUAACGGCCUACCAAGACGACGAUGCGUAGCCGACCUGAGAGGGUGAGCGGGCACACUGGAACUGAGAAACGGUCCAGACUCCUAAGGGAGGCAGCAGUAGGGAAUAUUGCGCAAUGGGCGAAAGCCUGAUCGAGCCAUGCCGCGUGGGUGAAGAAGGUCUUCGGAUUGGAAAACACUUUUUGUGGGGAAGAAAAAAAGUAAGAGAAAACCUGGCUGUUUUGACGGGAACAAAAGAAAAAGGACCGGCUAACUUCGGG
rnacentral:rRNA from 1 species